rnacentral:rRNA from 1 species
CAAGUCGAGCGAACAGAAGGGAGCUUGCUCCCGGAUGUUAGCGGCGGACGGGUGAGUAACACGUGGGUAACCUGCCUGUAAGACUGGGAUAACUCCGGGAAACCGGAGCUAAUACCGGAUAGUUCCUUGAACCGCAUGGUUCAAGGAUGAAAGACGGUUUCGGCUGUCACUUACAGAUGGACCCGCGGCGCAUUAGCUAGUUGGUGGGGUAAUGGCUCACCAAGGCGACGAUGCGUAGCCGACCUGAGAGGGUGAUCGGCCACACUGGGACUGAGACACGGCCCAGACUCCUACGGGAGGCAGCAGUAGGGAAUCUUCCGCAAUGGACGAAAGUCUGACGGAGCAACGCCGCGUGAGUGAUGAAGGUUUUCGGAUCGUAAAGCUCUGUUGUUAGGGAAGAACAAGUGCGAGAGUAACUGCUCGCACCUUGACGGUACCUAACCAGAAAGCCACGGCUAACUACGUGCCAGCAGCCGCGGUAAUACGUAGGUGGCAAGCGUUGUCCGGAAUUAUUGGGCGUAAAGGGCUCGCAGGCGGUUUCUUAAGUCUGAUGUGAAAGCCCCCGGCUCAACCGGGGAGGGUCAUUGGAAACUGGGGAAACUUGAGUGCAGAAGAGGAGAGUGGAAUUCCACGUGUAGCGGUGAAAUGCGUAGAGAUGUGGAGGAACACCAGUGGCGAAGGCGACUCUCUGGUCUGUAACUGACGCUGAGGAGCGAAAGCGUGGGGAGCGAACAGGAUUAGAUACCCUGGUAGUCCACGCCGUAAACGAUGAGUGCUAAGUGUUAGGGGGUUUCCGCCCCUUAGUGCUGCAGCUAACGCAUUAAGCACUCCGCCUGGGGAGUACGGUCGCAAGACUGAAACUCAAAGGAAUUGACGGGGGCCCGCACAAGCGGUGGAGCAUGUGGUUUAAUUCGAAGCAACGCGAAGAACCUUACCAGGUCUUGACAUCCUCUGACAACCCUAGAGAUAGGGCUUUCCCUUCGGGGACAGAGUGACAGGUGGUGCAUGGUUGUCGUCAGCUCGUGUCGUGAGAUGUUGGGUUAAGUCCCGCAACGAGCGCAACCCUUGAUCUUAGUUGCCAGCAUUUAGUUGGGCACUCUAAGGUGACUGCCGGUGACAAACCGGAGGAAGGUGGGGAUGACGUCAAAUCAUCAUGCCCCUUAUGACCUGGGCUACACACGUGCUACAAUGGACAGAACAAAGGGCUGCGAGACCGCAAGGUUUAGCCAAUCCCAUAAAUCUGUUCUCAGUUCGGAUCGCAGUCUGCAACUCGACUGCGUGAAGCUGGAAUCGCUAGUAAUCGCGGAUCAGC